rnacentral:rRNA from 10 species
GUUGACCUCGGAUCAGGUAGGAAUACCCGCUGAACUUAAGCAUAUCAAUAAGCGGAGG